rnacentral:hammerhead_ribozyme from 1 species
AGCCGAAACAGCGGAAUGAAUCCGCUGUCCGUUGGAAUUGGUCACCCAACGCUGAUGAUGGCAGACCAGU